UUACUAACUUCACUUCUUCCCCGGAGUUCUUGUGCUUUCUCGUCUCGCAGGUUCUUAUCGAUCCUGGUGGAGCCUCCUGCCAUGGUCCUGCUAGAUUGCCAUUACCAAUACUGUUGUUGCUGUGCACCUGUCUGUCUGUCUGUCUGUCUGUCUGUCUGUCUGUCUCUCUCUCUCUCUCUCUCUCUUUCUCACCCCAACUGGUCGAGACAGACGACCACCCACCUAGAGCCGAAGGAUCUGUCCUAGGUUUCUGCCUUUUAACAGGCAGUUUUUCCUUGCCCUUGUCGCCAAGGUCUUGCUCAUGGUGGUACUGUUGGGUCUCUGUAAAUAAUGUUAUAAGGAGUUCGGUCUAGACCUGCUCUAUUUGAAAAGUGUCCUGAGGUAACUUCUGUUAUGAAUUGGCGCUAUACAAAUAAAAUUGAAUUGAAUUGAAUUGACAGAUACUGAAAAGUGACCCUCAGAUUGCUAGUUUAUUUAUAGUGAAGUCAGAUUCUCCUAAGAGGCCCAUUCAUUUUUUGUCUCAGAUCACUAGUGGGAAUCAUCCUUGUCAUGAUUGUAUACACUCUUAUACUGUCAUUAAAGCUGCAGUAGGUAGUUUUUAUAAAAAGAAGUCAUAUUUGCUGACACUUUUACUGAAUGCUGACAGUAAACCAGGAUCUGUGAACAUAAGUGUUCUAUUCGUAAUCAUGAUGUUAAAUCAUCCGUGGCUAGACACUUAUAAUAGUAUAAUAACAGUCAUAACCACAACUUGAACUACAUUACAUGGGCAUUGAGAGAGUGAAGCUGACACAGAGAGGUGGAAAUGGGGACAGAAUCCUUCUCCAAAGGGAGAGGUAGUGGAUACCCUUCCUUGAUAUGUUCAUCGCCAAUGGUGCCCAACAUACAGACACCUCCACAGCCAAGAAACUUCUGGAUGACAGAUGAUGCUCCCUCCUGCUCCCGUCUUCCAGCUACAAAGUUUUGGACCUCUUUGGACCCUGGAUCGGCAACCACAGACCCUCUCUGCUCAGCUCAGCCCCUUACUAUCUGCUUCAGCUCCAUAUUCCCCUCACCCAUUCUCAGACUUGAGUUUACAAUAAAUGCCCUACCAGUUACCAUACUUACCUUUUCCUACUGUGAUAUUGUAUACUUGUUGUUAAAUACUUUGAUUUAUACCUUUUGAUAUGUCUAUUUUCAACAACAAAAAACAAAGAAAAGUAAAGUAAAAUUCAUAAAAACAAUUAUCGUUCUCCGGGUGUGAAAGGGUGAAUGUGGCACGUAAUGUAUGAGUGGUUGGAAGACUAGAAAGGCGCUAUACAAGUACAGGUCCAUUUACCAUUUACAUUUUCUGUAUAGCUUCCAUUACUGUCUUAAAACUUCUGUUAAUUUUUUUGUUGUGCAGCUCAAUCAGCACUCUGUUUAAAGUGAGCCCCUUUCAUUUGGCACAGUGAAUACCGUACAGAUGCGAGUUCUCCAUUAAACUGCUCCACAACGGCAGAGCUGACUUCAGUUUGCAGGCUGGAGCAGAUGUUUAGGCUUCUCAGCUUCUCUUCUGGCCUUUUUUGGUGGAAUUGGUCAUAAAGAGAGUAUCAGUCACAUGUUCUAAUAAUUGGAUGUGUUGUUGACUGUUGUGUUCUGUUGUCGUCUGGUUAUCCAGAUAAUAACAUUUUUUAAUGAGAAAAGUUUGAUUUUCUUCAAGACCCAAUUAGCCAAUACAUUUUUAGAUAGCAGAAUGUAUUGUGGUCCUUGGAUGUUCCUACUACUAAAACACACAAAAUUGUUGUCCCAACUAAAAAAACAAUAUUAAAGGCAUGACAGACCCACACAUCAUUUAACAGAGAGGCAUAGAGUCAAUGCUACCAACAAAUCUGUGAUUUCAAGAAAGAUGGACAAUUUUCCCUAGCAACAUACAAGGAAGUUACUAAUCAUUUAUUGACUGCUUACAUCCUUGAUACAGGCAAACAUUUGUACAGACACAUAAGUACAGAUAGUAAAAAUAUAAUUACAUUCUUUACAUUCUUAUUCUUUCUUGGGACAUCAAAGGCCAGUUUCCUAUUGCAUGUGCAACUACCACAGCUGGGUGGUUUACACACUAUUCAAUUCAAUUUUAUUUGUAUAGCACCAAUUCAUAACAAAAGUUAUCUCAGGACACUUUUCAAAUAGAGCAGGUCUAGACCGAACUCUUUAUAACAUUAACCCUUGUGUAUUGUUCAUAUUGUUGUUACUCAGCCAGCGUUUGUGGGUCUGAUGGACCCGUUGCAUUUUGUGGCUUUUAAUACCUCACAAUCAAACACUUUUAUGUUAAAAUACUGAACAGAUGUUUACCUUAUCCCAAUUACAAGCAGUAUAAACAAUAUAUAUGGUUAAUAUUUGCCCUUUACCUUUGUUAGGUCACAUUGCAACAUUGUUUGUCAACACUGUCUGCUCUCAUUUUCUGGCACAUUUGACCCUCUGUCCUCCUCCUGUCUAGGCCUGCUGUGUGUGUGUGUGUGUGUGUGUGUGUGUGUGGGUGUGGGUAUGGGUAUGGGUGUGGGUGUGGGUGGGUGCGGUAAACAGAACAUCAAUUUCCACACUUCUAUUAGCCCCGGGUCCAGUGGACCCGGACAUCUUAUAUGUAAUAGAAAUGUGUAGGGGGGGUGUAUGGUGUGUGGUCAUUAAAUAUGUAUUCUGAUAUAUGUUCUUCACAGAAAAUGAGCCAAAGUCAGUGGUCUCAGUUUGAAAAUUAAUUAAUUGUAUCAUUUUUCUUUAAUAAAGAAUGAAAACGGGUCCCACAGACCCAACACCAGGGUUAACACUAGUAACAAGUCAUACUGGAAUUGUGUCAAUGACAAAAAGUGGUGAAAUGCUCUCCUCACUGUUUGGUGGUGGUAACAGUUGUCAUUGAAGAAUGAUAGAUUAUCUAGUAUGCAUCCACUGGUUGUCUUGUUCUGUAAAUAAACAACAUACUUAACUGAUAUACCAUGGGUACGGAAAGUAUUCAGACCCCUUUAAAUGUUUCACUCUUUGUUUCAUUGCAGCCAUUUGCUGAAAUCAAAAAAGUUCAUUUUAUUUCUCAUUUAUGUACACUCAGCACCCCAUCUUGACAGAAAAAAACAGAAAUAUAGAAACUUUUGCAAAUUUAUUAAAAAAGAAAAACUGAAAUAUCACAUGGUCAUAAGUAUUCAGACCAUUUGCUCAGUAUUGAGUAGAAGCACCCUUUUGAGCUAGUACAGCCAUGAGUCUUCUUGGGAAUGAUGCAACAAGUUUUUGACACCUGGAUUUGGGGAUCCUCUGCCAUUCUUCCUUGCAGAUCCUCUCCAGUUCUGUCAGGUUGGAUGGUGAACGUUGGUGGACAGCCAUUUUCAGGUCUCUCCAAGCAGAGCCAGUUGGGUUUUCUCCUGCGUUCCUUCCAGGGGCAAACAAGACUGAUUGUUUUCCAGCUGUGCGGUCUGUAAUGGUAAAUACAUUUUUUGGUUUCAGCCACUACAGAUGCCCAACCUCCCCCUUCCUAACACAAGAUACCAGGUCCUUUUGUGUUUUUCAAAUUGUGAUGUCUAGACUCAACUUUGCACCUAAAUACAAGAUCCUGUAGGAUACCUCAGAUAUGAAACACACCAACGGGGGGUCAACGCCGAUACCUGCAAUAGACAAAAGGGUGUGAAAACACUUCCUGCAGGGGCAGACCCCUGCAGCAGACAAAGGGAUGUGAAAGAGGUGUUCCUCAGGUAUAAAUGUUUAGGUCUCCCCAUGCUCGGGGUCUUUCUUCAUCUUUGACCGCUCGCGUGUUGAUUAACCUUUUCUUUGCAAAGAAAAUAAAACCUUGUUGGCCGGCAGAAGUUCUCUAUUUCAUUCUUCAUCAGCAGAAGAGAAAUUUCCACAACAAGUCUUCCCUCGCGACUCAUUGAUCCAACAUGUUUGAAGCUGGUCAAUCAUCAUACAAGCCCACAAUAUAAGAAGUCUGCCUGAAAGUUCACUCUCUCUAACAUUGACUACUGUUGUUGCCUUCUGUGUAAGCACACUUGUUAAAAUCUGUAAGGAAAGGUAUGUGGUAGGAGGUUUAGGACUAGGUAAGUUUGGGGUACCCUGUAUU
ensembl:lncRNA